rnacentral:rRNA from 1 species
UAGGGAAUCUUCGGCAAUGGGGGGAACCCUGACCGAGCAACGCCGCGUGAGUGAAGAAGGUUUUCGGAUCGUAAAGCUCUGUUGGUAAGGAAGAACGAGUGUGAGAAUGGAAAGUUCAUACUGUGACGGUACUUAACCAGAAAGGGACGGCUAACUACGUGCCAGCAGCCGCGGUAAUACGUAGGUCCCGAGCGUUGUCCGGAUUUAUUGGGCGUAAAGCGAGCGCAGGCGGUUAGAUAAGUCUGAAGUUAAAGGCAGUGGCUCAACCAUUGUAGGCUUUGGAAACUGUUUAACUUGAGUGCAGAAGGGGAGAGUGGAAUUCCAUGUGUAGCGGUGAAAUGCGUUGAUAUAUGGAGGAACACCGGUGGCGAAAGCGGCUCUCUGGUCUGUAACUGACGCUGAGGCUCGAAAGCGUGGGGAGCGAACAGG